rnacentral:rRNA from 1 species
AGGGAAUAUUAGUAAUGGGCGAAAGCCUGAACUAGCGACACCGCGUGUGCGAAGAAGGCCUUCGGGUUGUAAAGCACUUUUAGAGAGGAUGAGGAAGGACGGUACUCUCUGAAUAAGUCUCGGCUAACUACGUGCCAGCAGCCGCGGUAACACGUAGGAGGCAAACGUUAUCCGGAUUUACUGGGCGUAAAGCGCGUGUAGGUGGUUCUGUAAGUAGGGCGUGAAAGCUCCUGGCUCAACUGGGAGAGGCCGUUCUAAACUGCAGAGCUAGAGGAUGGUAGAGGAAGGUGGAAUUCCGGGUGUAGCGGUGGAAUGCGCAGAUAUCCGGAGGAACACCAGUGGCGAAGGCGGCCUUCUGGACCAUUCCUGACACUCAGACGCGAAAGCUAGGGUAGCAAACG